AGAAUUGAGCAAUAUAACUCAGCUCUGUUCAUUUUUUCCCCUCUCUUUCAGGUUUUCCUGACUGUUCUGUGGCCCUGUCGCUGCAGCCGCCAUGGAUCCGAAUGCUGUGGCUGCAAAGGCUUCUUACUUUCUCAUACUGGAUCCCUCAAAUCCAAGAGCUGCUUGGCAGUUUCCAAGGCAACCACCUGUGGAAUAAUUAAAAAGGAUGAAGCGUUAGUGUGCCAAAGAUACGGAAUUCUUGCCUGGAGAGAGCACUUCAUUUUCAUCUGUUGUGAAGAAUCAAAUGUGUCUCUGCCAGCAAAGUUAAGAAGAAGAAAUGGUGACCGAGCUGUGCAAGUGAACCAGGACAAUCCAAAAAACAACCUCGUGAGAAGAGAGGUUGUGGUUCUGUGGAAGAAAACCCUCCUAGAAGGAUGUUCUCAAGCCAGCACGAAGGAUUUCCCUCUGCAUGUCAGUGCUUAGCUUGUGGCUGUGGCCGCUUGCCAUUUGGCUGCGUGGGGCUGAGCAGCUGCAGUUCCUCAGGAACCCCCUGCAGGUGAGCAGGGCUGGGAGCGAGCAUUUUGUGCGAGGCUGUGAGUGGUAUCCAGGAACCCUCCUUCCAUCACUCUUCCACUCCAUCUCUUCCUCUCUCUGGGCGUGGAAGUGCUAAGGAGAAGCAGGACGUGGAUUACCAAGACACAGCCGUGUUACUGACUGACUGUUGAAUUUGGACUUCUUUAGCAUCGUCCCAAACUCCUUAAAUCCACCAGUGGGAGUGAUCCAGGUAUCUCUCACUUAAAACAACUCGGACUGACCUUGAAUGUAUUUUCUUUUGCUUGCUUCUUUUCAGUAAAAGAAUCUUCCUCCUUGGAAGAUUCUUUGCAUUUUGAGGUUGUAAGCUGUCAGUGAGUCACCAAUUAGCAGCUCAGUGUAAAUAAUUUCAAGUGAAAUCAUCACUUGUUUACUUACGUAGUUGGUGCGGUCAGAGGAAACAUGAGGGCAGCCUUGGCUCUCUGGAGAAGCUCAAGUUGUAGAGGAUUUUGAGUGUGUCCCGAGAAUGGACUGGUUGUUUACACAGAUGUUACAAAUCAUCCAUACCAUUUCAAAUGAGCCAGUCUUGCAUGGAAUUCCAUCCGUUAAGGAGUGAUAUAUUGGAACAUGGGAUGACUUUAUCUGCUUUUCUUGUUGCAUGUUGAAGCUCUGGUAUUUGCACAGUCACGGCCUGAAAGCUGCGUGUGUAAAUCCCAGCAGAGGGGAACCUAGAAGAUAACCAAGAACACCGGUAAAAGGAAGGAAUAGGGGAACUUCGCCUUCCUGUAGUCAGUCUGUACAGGUUUGGUGGUUCUUGUGUACACAGUGUAACUUCCCUGGAGCCCAUCCAGAUUCACAGUGGGUAAGUCACUCCGCAGAAAUCAAAGGAGGUAUAAUCUUGUAAAACUUUCAUAAAAGGAAGGUUUUUGCAUUUCUGUCCAGAAGCUGCCUAAGCAAACAUCUAAUAUUGACUUGAUCUCUUAGUCUGAUAGCCUGCCUUUGACUUGGAGUGUGAAACGUAACUUGAGCAAAAUGAACCAUACCUUUUUUUUUUCUUUAAACAUUUAGCAUUUUCCUUAGAAAAGCGUGUAAGCCAGGUGCUCCCGUCUUAGCAAAAGCUAACAAUUUCAACUCCUUCUGUGCUUGCUGUUUUCUCCCAACUUCUCCUCGAGUGGUCAAGGUGCAUAGGGAACUAGAGGGCUGCUAACAUGGCUGCUGAUGAAAUAAAAUGCAGUGAGAUUCAAGAGGUUGCAGCCUGCAGGAGUCAGCUCUGCAAACUGUUUUUUCCAUACCCAAGAAACAUGAGUCAGAUUUUGCAAAGUGAGUCAAAUCUAUCUUCAGAUUCAUUUGAAGACGCUGCAUUGGAUGUAGAAUUUGAAACAGUAUUAUGCAUAGAAAGGGCUCAUUAAACUGAUUGAGUUUGCAGUAUUCCCUUUGAGGGGGAGGGGGGACGGAAUGGAUAAAAGUGGCGGGGAAAUGUGGAAGGAGGUUCGGGUGUUCAUCAGUCCCCAGAAACGUGAGCGGUCCUCCUGCAGCCUGGAGGAAAUAGAAAGGUGAUCCUUUCUUCUGUGCUCCUGGGGGGACUUCCCAGGGCCUGAGAGAUGGUUAUUAAUUGAAGUUUGCUUAUCCUCGCUGCUGCUGCUGCUGGUCUGUGGUUGGUCUUCAGCCUGAGAGCAGCACACGAGGGUGUGGGCGCUCCCUGGGCUCUCACAUUCUUCUGCCAGAAGCCUGCUGGAGACAUCCUUGGAGAUCCAGACACAAACCCUGGCCCACAAGGAGGGCAGUAUCCGCCUAACACCUUCGUUUAAAUAAAUUAACUUCCUUUUGUUUUUGCACUUCUUGCCUUUAUCUUCACCUGGGUAGUGUUCCUGCCCAUAAAGCUGUCCUCUUGGGUCAAAUGUGCUGGAGCUGCAGCCCUCGGACAGGAUGUGACUCCUGCAUGUUUUGCUGGCUGUGUCAUGCACAAACACUCC
ensembl:lncRNA